rnacentral:lncRNA from 1 species
CAGCAGCGUUCCAAAACAGCCUGGAGACAGCGAGGCCCACAAGUGAAUCAUAAGCACUUGCGUUCUGCAGAUGACUCUUCCACUGGGAUGGGAUCAGAUCUACCCCUAAUGGAUGUAUUUGCUGUGCAGAAAAUGGUGUCCUGAGAAUGUGCCAUAGCAUAUCAGGCUGGUAUCAGCUCAGCUGGAGAGUGGAAUGGUUCCAAAUUACCACAGUAUUGAGAUGGAAGGGCUGACAGCACAAGACAGAGAUCAGGAAGUUUAAGCUCCACCACAAAGGACAGCGUAAGGUCCAAGUUCUGUAAGAGCUUCUGUCAGAG